GCAGGACUCGGUGUGCUUUGCUUUUGUUCUGCAGAACAACAGCUUUCUGCUGUUCCCAAAUAAAGCCGUUUUGCAGGUAAAAUAACUGGCAGUUUUCCUUUUAAAGUUAACAUUUUGCUAUUUGUCCACUAUAUUUUCCCUUUCGUCCUGGGAUCCUGAUCAUAUGUAUGUUAGGCUUUUGAUGGGUACCCUCUGUCUCUUAAUUUCCUUUCCGCAUGCUUUGCCUUCUGUGCGCCAUCCUGGGUAAUUUCUUCAGCUGUAUCUUUCAAUUGAAUAAAGUCUCUCUGGCUGUGUCUAAUGUCCUACUAAGUCUUUCUUUGAUUUUCAAACUUCGAUAAUUCUGUUUUUCAUUUCUAAAAGUAGUGUUGUUUCCCCAGAACUGCCUAGUAAUUUGGGGUAGUUUGUCAUUUAUUUUUAAAGUAGGCUCCACACCCAAGCAGGGCUUGAACUCAUGACCCUGAGAUCAAGAGUCACAUGCUCUAUGGUCUGGCUCCCCUCUGCUCACGUGUUGUCAAGUUGGUUUGUUCUCUUGCAUGUUUGCUAAUGUUUAUGAUCUUAUCACUGCGAUUUGUGGGGAUCUUGGGGACCUAAACUGGGAGUGCUGUCUUCUAGAGUGGGCUCGAGAAAGGUUCUCCCAGAUGUCAGGAUGUGCCUGAAUGCAUUUGGUUCUCCUUGCAUUACGCUCAAAGCUUAGUCUCCUACUAACACUCACAUAAGCAUUUUCCUGUAGGAAAGGUCCUCCAUUGUAUAUUUUCUCGUAUUUUACCUCUCUGUUCUGAUUUAAGCUCAUUAUUGUCAAGUAAAAGCUCAUGGGUUUUUUUGUUUUGUUUUGUUUUGCUCAUGUUGGCGAGGAGGCUGGAGAGUCCCCUAUCUUCUCUGAGUGUAACAAUGAGGUACGAAGUAUGGACUAUACACGAUACAGCCUUUUUAUCGUGGUGAUAUGUACAUAACACACCAUUUACCAUUUUGACCGUUUUUAAGUGUACAAUUCAGCAGCGUUACAUCCAUUCACAAUAUUGUCCAAGUAUCACCACCACCCAUAUCCAGAAUUCUUUAUCUUGCAGAACUGAAACUCUGUACCCACUAACCAGUAAUGUGCCAUUCUCCUCUCUAUGAACUUGCGAUUCUAGGUACCUCAUUAUAAUUGUUAAUUUUAUGUGCCAACUUGACUGGUUCAUGAGGUGCCCGGAUUGUUGGUCCAACACUAUUCUGGGAGUGUCUGUGAGGAUGUUUUGGGAUGAGAUUAACAUUCAAAUGAUAGAAUGGGUAAAGCAGAUUGCCUUCCAAUCAGUUACAAGCCUGAAUAGAACAAAAAGGCUGACCUUCUUCAGAAUAAGAGAGAAUUCUUCCUGCCUGACUGCCUUUGAACUGGGACAUUCGCUUUUCCAGCUUUGGGCCUCAAACUGAAAUAUCAGUCCUUCCUAAAUCUUGAGCCUGUUGGCCUCCAGCCUGGGAUUUACACCGUCAGCUCUCCUGGGUCCCCAGUUCACUGCUCACCCUGCAGAUCUUGGGACUUGUCAGCCUUCAUAACCGAAGAGUUUUGUGCCUUUCCCAGGAGACCAGCAUACCUUGACUUUGCCAUUGUGAAGAAACAGAGCCCAGUUAUGGCCAUCUUGACUACUGGAAACGAGGAACUCCUUCACAUACAUGCUGCAUCCAACACUCAAAGCUAUUCUGGCUAGACACAUGUUAAAAUGGAAUUCAUGAAAGCAGAAAACACCAGGAGGAAGAAUGGAACAAGGGACAUUAACUCUGGGCAGGUGAAGUAGUCUUCUAUUUUCAGGGUCCUAUGAAAGGCUCAUUAAAGUUGAGGGCAGAGGCAGCAGUGAGAGAGUGCUGGGAGUCAGGACUUGGCCACAUGGGCCUCAGAAGAAUCUUCCAGGAAUGUGUGCUGCGUGUCUGUGUGUGUGUGUGUGUGUGUGUGUGUGUGUGUGUGUGUGUGUGCAUGAGCUGUGAGGCUUUAAUUAAUUAUUUCUUGUGUCUGAAUUCAUGAGAUACAUAUUAACAUCCAACAUGUGGUGUUUAGGACCUUGACAUGUGUAGCUUCCAGAAGAUAGUAUCGGGCAUAUUUAAAGUAAAAGGAACACAGUUUGAGAAAUAUGAUAGGAAUGCCUAUUCAAAAUGCCUAGAUUUAAACCAUGGCAUACAGUGUAAAGAGAGUUGAAAAUUAUCUCUUGCAAAACACCUGGGAUUUGUUUCUGCUUGAAUACACUAAAACAGGAAUCAAUGUAAGUCUGUUAUAUAAUCACACAUCAUAGUUAUACUAUUAUGGGGCAUGUAAGAAAAUUAUUUUGCCUUGUGACAAUUUUUCCUUCCUGUGGGAUAAAAAUAAAAUAUUAAUAAAUUUAUAACAUUGUCCCCAGAAUCAUAGAAUUAUUUUUGAUAAAUAUAUCUGCAUUUUUUACUCAAUCCUUGUGUCUUGAUUGUAAACCUUAGGGACACAAGGUAUUAAAUCAACAAAUGGCUAAUGACUACACAAAUCCUAGAUUCCAUUUAUUAUGUGCCAGGAACUGUGCUACGUGGCUUUACUGGUGAAUUCUACUAAAUGUUUAAAGAAGGAUUAAUGCCAAUCAUUUCCAAGCUCUUUUAAAACAUCCUAACUCAUGCUACAAGUUACGCAUUACCUUGAUACCAAAGCCAGACAUAUACACCACAAGAAAAAAAUCACACACCAGUAUACAUUAACAAUUUAUAUGCAGAAAUCCUCAAAUAAUUUUAGCAAACUGAAUCCAGCAGCACAUUAUAAAUAUUACAUUUUUUAAAUUUUUAUUUAUUUUUGAGAGAGAGAAAGUGCAUGCACAUGAGCGAGGGAGUGGCAGAGAGAGAUAGAGACACAGAAUCUGAAGCAGGCUCCAGGCUGUCAGCACAGAGCCCAACGUGGGGCUCGAACUCAUGAACCGUGAGAUCGUGACCUGAGCCGAAGUCAGGUGCUUAACCAACUGAGCCACCCAGGCGCCCCUCCAACAUUUUCUGACAAAAAACACUCAGCAAACUAGGAAUAGAAGGGAAAUGACCAAACAUAAUAAAGGGUAUUUAUGAAAUACCCAUAACUAAUAUCAGACUCAAUGGUGGAAGACUGAAAUCUUUCCAUCUAACAUCAGGAACAAGACCAGAAUGCUUGCUUUCACUGCUUCUAUUCAAGAUCGUAACAUAGUUCAUAGCCAGAGCAGUGAUGUAAGAAGAAAUAAAAGGCAUCUAAAUUGGAAAGGAAGAAA